UAGAGUUUGAUCCUGGCUCAGGAUGAACGCUGGCGGCGUGCUUAACACAUGCAAGUCGAACGAACCUUCGGGUUAGUGGCGGACGGGUGAGUAACGCGUGGGAAUCUGCCCUCAGGAGGGGGAUAACGGCUGGAAACGGCCGCUAAUACCCCAUAUGCCGAGAGGUGAAACGAAUUUCGCCUGAGGAUGAGCCCGCGUCUGAUUAGCUAGUUGGUGAGGUAAGAGCUCACCAAGGCAUCGAUCAGUAGCUGGUCUGAGAGGAUGAUCAGCCACACUGGGACUGAGACACGGCCCAGACUCCUACGGGAGGCAGCAGUGGGGAAUUUUCCGCAAUGGGCGAAAGCCUGACGGAGCAACGCCGCGUGAGGGAUGAAGGCCUCUGGGCUGUAAACCUCUUUUCUCAAGGAAGAAGAUCUGACGGUACUUGAGGAAUAAGCCACGGCUAAUUCCGUGCCAGCAGCCGCGGUAAUACGGGAGUGGCAAGCGUUAUCCGGAAUUAUUGGGCGUAAAGCGUCCGCAGGCGGCCUUUCAAGUCUGCUGUUAAAGCGUGGAGCUUAACUCCAUCAUGGCAGUGGAAACUGUUGGGCUUGAGUGUGGUAGGGGCAGAGGGAAUUCCCGGUGUAGCGGUGAAAUGCGUAGAUAUCGGGAAGAACACCAGUGGCGAAGGCGCUCUGCUGGGCCAUAACUGACGCUCAUGGACGAAAGCCAGGGGAGCGAAAGGGAUUAGAUACCCCUGUAGUCCUGGCCGUAAACGAUGAACACUAGGUGUCGGGGGAAUCGACCCCCUCGGUGUCGUAGCCAACGCGUUAAGUGUUCCGCCUGGGGAGUACGCACGCAAGUGUGAAACUCAAAGGAAUUGACGGGGGCCCGCACAAGCGGUGGAGUAUGUGGUUUAAUUCGAUGCAACGCGAAGAACCUUACCAGGGUUUGACAUCCUGCGAAUCUUUUGGAAACGAGAGAGUGCCUUCGGGAGCGCAGUGACAGGUGGUGCAUGGCUGUCGUCAGCUCGUGUCGUGAGAUGUUGGGUUAAGUCCCGCAACGAGCGCAACCCACGUCUUUAGUUGCCAGCAUUUAGUUGGGCACUCUAGAGAGACCGCCGGUGAUAAACCGGAGGAAGGUGUGGAUGACGUCAAGUCAUCAUGCCCCUUACAUUCUGGGCUACACACGUACUACAAUGCUACGGACAAAGAGCAGCAAGUUCGCGAGGACAAGCAAAUCUCAUAAACCGUGGCUCAGUUCAGAUCGUAGGCUGCAACUCGCCUACGUGAAGGAGGAAUCGCUAGUAAUCGCAGGUCAGCAUACUGCGGUGAAUACGUUCCCGGGCCUUGUACACACCGCCCGUCACACCAUGGAAGUUGGCCACGCCCGAAGCCGUUACUCCAACCCUUGUGGAGGAGGACGUCGAAGGUGGGGCUGAUGACUGGGGUGAAGUCGUAACAAGGUAACCA
rnacentral:rRNA from 1 species